rnacentral:lncRNA from 1 species
UAAAUAUUAGUUUCUAAUUUUUGUAAUUUUUCUGUGGUUAUAUAAGAGAAUGUCCUUGUUUUUAGGAAGUACACACUAACAUAUUUACAAUUAAAAAGUACAUUUUGUGGUCCAGGCGCAGUGGCUCAAGCCUGUAAUCCCAGCACUUUGGGAGGCCAAGGCGGGUGGAUCACGAGAUCUGCCUGCCUUGGCCUCCCAAAGUGCUAGGAUUACAGGUGUGAACCACCGUGCCCAGCACUGUUCUCUCUUUCUUGAUAGUUUCCCUUCUGACAUUUCUUUACAUCCUCCUCAGACACCCAGUAACUUUAAUAUUCCUC